GAACAAUAUCCUCGAUUUGUGGACAUGCCAUACUUGCUUGACACUGAGUUUGGAAAAAUGUUUCCUGGGAAGGCUGACCUCUUUGUUUUAGUUUUUAGUUUCUUAGAGUUUUAUCACAAAUGUAUUUUCACCCACACUUAAAUGCUUAUGCAGUCCAAAGAACAAAUGAAUACAAAGUGAUUAAUUUGAGCAAUGCUGCUGAUGUAAAACCACUUCACAUGAAACCACUUCCUACAAAGAAAACCUUUUUGUAAAUCCAAGAUAUAAAAUUGUUUAAAAAUGUCUUUAUGAAAUUCAAAUGACAUGUGAAUGUUGACUUUGUGAAAAUGUAGCAGUCAAGUUUUAAUAAAUAUAUAUAUUUUUUAAAAA